rnacentral:lncRNA from 1 species
CUUUCAACCCUCCCUGCUCAAACUAAUCAUUAUCUAGCCAGCACUUUCUAAAAUCUCACAAUAGGGCACCUAAGAAAAUGUAGUUCUUAAAGGCCUUGGUCGGUUGGCCUCAAGUGAACCCACUGUCUCAGCCUCUCUCUCUCUCAGCCUCUCUCUCUCUCUCAGCCUCUCUCUCUCUCUCAGCCUCUCUCUCUCUCUCAGCCUCUCUCUCUCUCUCAGCCUCUCUCUCUCUCUCUCUCAGCCUCUCUCUCUCUCAGCCUCUCUCUCUCUCUCUCAGCCUCUCUCUCUCUCUCUCUCUCUCUCUCUCUCUCUCAGCCUCUCUCUCUCUCUCUCUCAGCCUCUCUCUCUCUCUCAGCCUCUCUCUCUCUCUCUCUCUCUCUCUCUCCCCCCCCCCCCCAGUGAACCCACUGUCUCAGCCCUAUCCCCACCAGCUGUAUCACAGGAUGUCACUGGGGGUGAUUAGUUGAAGCCAACAGAGAAACUCAACAGAGAAACUCUGAAACUACGGGUCACGUCCCAAAUGGUUCCCUGUAUAGUAAUCUACUACUGACUAGAACCCUAUGGGUCCUAAUCCCUAUGGGCCCUGGGCAAAAAAUAUUGUACUAUGUAGAGAAUAGGGUGCCAUAGGAGAUGGGCACUCAUCCUGUAGUGUAACAGACUUGAUGUCUUUUUAAUAUAACCUACUCAGUGGCCUGUCAUCAUCCUUGUUAACUAGAGAGAGAUCUCAGGAUUACCUCGGUAGGAGCGCUGAUCUAGGAUCAGUUUUGGCAUAUAGAUAAAACCAUAAUAAGAUUAGAAAUGGGCAGAUCCCAGAUCAGCACUCCUACUCUCAGAUGCUUUGUGGAUACGGGCCCAGGGAGCUAGAGGUUCAGAUUGGGUGGCAAUUUUAUUAUUUUAUUUUUUGGCAGCCUGGUUUCAGAAGGUGAGCUGCUACUAAUGUUAACCCUGAAAGCUUGGAUUACUCCCUCUGCCUCCCACAGAGUAGAGAGUGGGAGAGGGCGAGCGUAGAGAGGAACGAUGGAGAGGGUGAGAUAUAGGAAGGGAGAGCAAAACUAGAGUAUCUCUUCACUUUCACUACUUUCUCCAUCUGUUCUUUCAGCACAUACCACCACCACCAGUAGCCUGUUUCUCUCUUUUGUAAGGCAAGGUCUAUUAGCGCCGCCUCAGGAUUGGCUGUAGCCCAUUGGAGUUUUGAUUUGAUUUGUCACUGGUCUCUGCGUUAGACACAGUCAUUUUUGGCAGUGGGCCAUAAAAACGCUUCACUCUGGGAAUUCUAAUAUGGUGGCAGGCAGCCUCGUCUCAAGCACUUUGUUUUCAGUACCUCAAGCCUAUAUGUACAGAGAGAAUCAGACAAAUGUAAUAAAUUCAAAACAUCACCUC